UACGUAGGUGGCAAGCGUUGUUCGGAAUUAUUGGGCGUAAAGGGCGCGUAGGCGGCAUGUUAAGUCAGUCGUGAAAGCCCGGGGCUCAACCCCGGAGGGUCGACUGAUACUGGCGAGCUAGAGUACGGAAGAGGUAGCUGGAAUUCCAGGUGUAGCGGUGAAAUGCGUAGAUAUCUGGAGGAACACCGGUGGCGAAGGCGGCAUCCUGGACCGGUAUUGACGCUGAGGCGCGAAAGCUAGGGGAGCAAACGGG
rnacentral:rRNA from 1 species